UGGGGAAUUUUGGACAAUGGGGGCAACCCUGAUCCAGCAAUGCCGCGUGUGUGAAGAAGGCCUUCGGGUUGUAAAGCACUUUUGUCCGGAAAGAAAACGCCGUGGUUAAUACCCGUGGCGGAUGACGGUACCGGAAGAAUAAGCACCGGCUAACUACGUGCCAGCAGCCGCGGUAAUACGUAGGGUGCAAGCGUUAAUCGGAAUUACUGGGCGUAAAGCGUGCGCAGGCGGUCCGCUAAGACAGAUGUGAAAUCCCCGGGCUUAACCUGGGAACUGCAUUUGUGACUGGCGGGCUAGAGUAUGGCAGAGGGGGGUAGAAUUCCACGUGUAGCAGUGAAAUGCGUAGAGAUGUGGAGGAAUACCGAUGGCGAAGGCAGCCCCCUGGGCCAAUACUGACGCUCAUGCACGAAAGCGUGGGGGAGCAAAACAGGAUUCAGAUACCCUGGUAGUCCACGCCCUAAACGAUGUCAACUAGUUGUCGGGUCUUCAUUGACUUGGUAACGUAGCUAACGCGUGAAGUUGACCGCCUGGGGAGUAACGGUCGCAAGAUUAAAACUNAAAUGAAUUACGGGGU
rnacentral:rRNA from 1 species